rnacentral:rRNA from 1 species
GACGAACGCUGGCGGCGUGCCUAAUACAUGCAAGUAGAACGCACAGUUUAUACCGUAGCUUGCUACACCAUAAACUGUGAGUUGCGAACGGGUGAGUAACGCGUAGGUAACCUGCCUGGUAGCGGGGGAUAACUAUUGGAAACGAUAGCUAAUACCGCAUAAUAUUGAUUAUUGCAUGAUAAUUGAUUGAAAGAUGCUAUUGCAUCACUACCAGAUGGACCUGCGUUGUAUUAGCUAGUAGGUGAGGUAACGGCUCACCUAGGCGACGAUACAUAGCCGACCUGAGAGGGUGAUCGGCCACACUGGGACUGAGACACGGCCCAGACUCCUACGGGAGGCAGCAGUAGGGAAUCUUCGGCAAUGAACGAAAGUCUGACCGAGCAACGCCGCGUGAGUGAAGAAGGUUUUCGGAUCGUAAAGCUCUGUUGUAAGAGAAGAACGGGUGUGAGAGUGGAAAGUUCACACUGUGACGGUAUCUUACCAGAAAGGGACGGCUAACUACGUG